CCAAGCAUACUACCCUCUUGAAGCGAUAUUUUUGUUACAGCCAGCUCUGUUAUAUCAAAGACACAUCUAUGAUGCUUGCGGGGUCAAAGCUAACAAUGGUCUUAGCAAUAAUCUGUAUGAUGGAGAAAGUUUUGGCCACUGAUCAAGGGCGGACAAAAUAUCUCCAACAGGACAAG